rnacentral:rRNA from 1 species
GGGGAAUUUUCCGCAAUGGGCGAAAGCCUGACGGAGCAAUACCGCGUGAGGGAUGACGGCCUAUGGGUUGUAAACCUCUUUUUUCAGGGAGGAAAAAAAUGACGUUACCUGAAGAAUAAGCAUCGGCUAACUCCGUGCCAGCAGCCGCGGUAAGACGGAGGAUGCAAGUGUUAUCCGGAAUCACUGGGCGUAAAGCGUCUGUAGGUGGUUGACUAAGUCAACUGUUAAAUCUUGAGGCUCAACCUCAAAACCGCAGUCGAAACUAUUCAACUAGAGUCUAGUAGGGGUAAAGGGAAUUUCCAGUGGAGCGGUGAAAUGCGUAGAGAUUGGAAAGAACACCGAUGGCGAAGGCACUUUACUGGGCUAUGACUAACACUGAGAGACGAAAGCUAGGGUAGCAAAUGGGAUUAGAUACCCCAGUAGUC